rnacentral:rRNA from 1 species
CUAAGCCAUGCGAGUCAACUCGAAAAAGUGGCGCACGGCUCAGUAACACGUAGUCAAUCUACCCUGAGGACGGGGAUAACCCCGGGAAACUGGGGAUAAACCCCGAUAGGUCAUAGCUCCUGGAAUGGGCUAUGGCUCAAAUCUAUAUGGCCUUAGGAUGGGACUGCGUCCGAUCAGGUUGUUGGUGGGGUAAUGGCCCACCAAGCCUAUAACCGGCACGGGCUCUGAGAGGAGGAGCCCGGAGAUGGGCACUGAGACAAGGGCCCAGGUCCUAUGGGGCGCAGCAGGCGCGAAACCUCCGCAAUGGGCGAAAGCCCGACGGGGUCAGUCCGAGUGGCUCCUGCUAAAGGAGUCUUUUGCCAGCUGUAAACAGGCUGGUGAAUAAGGGGUGGGCAAGCCUGGUGUCAGCCGCCGCGGUAAUACCAGCACCCCGAGUGGUCGGGAUGAUUAUUGGGCCUAAAGCAUCCGUAGCCGGUGUAGUAAGUCCUCCGUUAAAUCCACCUGCUCAACAGGUGGGCUGCGGAGGAUACUGCUACACUAGGAGGCGGGAGAGGCGAGGGGUAUUCCACGGGUAGGGGUAAAAUCCUCUGAUCCGUGGAGGACCACCAGUGGCGAAGGCGUCUCGCCAGAACGCGCUCGAC